rnacentral:rRNA from 1 species
AUUGAACGCUGGCGGCAGGCCUAACACAUGCAAGUCGAGCGGUAGCACAGAGAGCUUGCUCUCGGGUGACGAGCGGCGGACGGGUGAGUAAUGUCUGGGAAAACUGCCUGAUGGAGGGGGAUAACUACUGGAAACGGUAGCUAAUACCGCAUAACGUCGCAAGACCAAAGUGGGGGACCUUCGGGCCUCAUGCCAUCAGAUGUGCCCAGAUGGGAUUAGCUGGUAGGUGGGGUAACGGCUCACCUAGGCGACGAUCCCUAGCUGGUCUGAGAGGAUGACCAGCCACACUGGAACUGAGACACGGUCCAGACUCCUACGGGAGGCAGCAGUGGGGAAUAUUGCACAAUGGGCGCAAGCCUGAUGCAGCCAUGCCGCGUGUGUGAAGAAGGCCUUCGGGUUGUAAAGCACUUUCAGCGGGGAGGAAGGCGAUAAGGUUAAUAACCUUGUCGAUUGACGUUACCCGCAGAAGAAGCACCGGCUAACUCCGUGCCAGCAGCCGCGGUAAUACGGAGGGUGCAAGCGUUAAUCGGAAUUACUGGGCGUAAAGCGCACGCAGGCGGUCUGUCAAGUCGGAUGUGAAAUCCCCGGGCUCAACCUGGGAACUGCAUUCGAAACUGGCAGGCUAGAGUCUUGUAGAGGGGGGUAGAAUUCCAGGUGUAGCGGUGAAAUGCGUAGAGACCUGGAGGAAUACCGGUGGCGAAGGCGGCCCCCUGGACAAAGACUGACGCUCAGGUGCGAAAGCGUGGGGAGCAAACAGGAUUAGAUACCCUGGUAGUCCACGCUGUAAACGAUGUCGAUUUGGAGGUUGUGCCCUUGAGGCGUGGCUUCCGGAGCUAACGCGUUAAAUCGACCGCCUGGGGAGUACGGCCGCAAGGUUAAAACUCAAAUGAAUUGACGGGGGCCCGCACAAGCGGUGGAGCAUGUGGUUUAAUUCGAUGCAACGCGAAGAACCUUACCUGGUCUUGACAUCCACAGAACUUUCCAGAGAUGGAUUGGUGCCUUCGGGAACUGUGAGACAGGUGCUGCAUGGCUGUCGUCAGCUCGUGUUGUAAAAUGUUGGGUUAAGUCCCGCAACGAGCGCAACCCUUAUCCUUUGUUGCCAGCGGUUAGGCCGGGAACUCAAAGGAGACUGCCAGUGAUAAACUGGAGGAAGGUGGGGAUGACGUCAAGUCAUCAUGGCCCUUACGACCAGGGCUACACACGUGCUACAAUGGCAUAUACAAAGAGAAGCGACCUCGCGAGAGCAAGCGGACCUCAUAAAGUAUGUCGUAGUCCGAAUUGGAGUCUGCAACUCGACUCCAUGAAGUCGGAAUCGCUAGUAAUCGUAGAUCAGAAUGCUACGGUGAAUACGUUCCCGGGCCU